UGGAGUUCAGGUUCAGGAGUAAAUCCAUUGCUCAGUGGGUUGGUAAGAAGCCCAUUGGGUUCACUGGUCUCAUUGGUAACCCCACUGGGCCUGGGUUUGCUGCCAUUGCCUCAGAUACUCCAGUCUUCAUGGAUUCCUAGACGUUAGAAUUGUCUUUCUGCCCUCCAUGUGCUGCAGCUUCAGUUUCCCAUGGCUGAAGCUUGUCUUACUGAGUGCACAAGGGCCCUAGGGCCCUCACAGCUCCAGCUGUCCUGGGCCAGACCCACCCCAGGCCUCCUCUGGAUGGUCCGUCCUGUUAUCAUCUCCAUUCUCAUCUUGCCCACCGUCCCCCUCCCAAUUUGGUUUUCAGUAUCAUUUGGCUCUGCAUCCAUCACUUUCAUGAACCCAUCCCUAGAGAGCCAGUCUGGAUCCCCUGCUUUGAAACAAAGAAUAGGACUCCUAGGAACCAACUUCCAUUGAUUUGGACUUAAAGGGAGACCCUUCUAUGUGGAAAUUUCUAAAAUCUAGGACCAAGGGUUAUGAUCCCUAGACAAUCCAAAACUGUCAUUUCAAUCACCAGAAUCAAUUUUUCUCCCCCUUUAACUGGGAACCAGAGCUGAUUUAAAAAAAAGAGAAAGAGAGAGAGAGAGAGAAUCGAUUAAAAAAAAAUUGUCCCCCAUCUUACCAAAACAGGUAAGGAAUAAGUGAUCACUGUAUAGCCUAAAAAUAGAGAGUAGAUUAAGCCUGGGAUUGGGGAGGGGAUGGCUUUUGCCUCACCAGACUGGGUUUUUUGCCUUUUUACACUGUGGCUUAAAUUUCCCAAAUGUAGCAAAUCAUGAUGGUAGGCUGUCUAGUGGUGGCUCCUGCCCAGGUCUCACUGUUGGCUAGUUGGCACCUUCAUUUGUCUUGGGGGGGUGGGGCACCAGCUCAGGGUGCUAGGCCCAGGGUGCUCAUUAGUUCCUGGUCACCCACAUCCCCAGGUAUCUGCAGGGCAUUUCAUGCCCAGCACAAAGCCUCUGUGCGUCUCUUCCUCUCCUUCAUGGGAGGUGGUGCUGAAUUUCAGGACAUGGGGUUGGAGGGACACAGACCUUUGGAAAAUAGAAAAUUAAAACAAUCCACACUUGAGACCUAUGUCAGAUGGUAGAUACCUUUCCAUAGCAUCCUUGGCUGGGGACUAUAAAAUGUCCAACACACAUACAUGCACAUCUACCCCCAAAAUGUUUAUCCAGUGUUGCCACACACAAAUACAAAACAUGCAACCUACAUGUGAAAUACACACAGGCCAAAUUCAUAUAAAAGGCAGACACAGAAGAUUUAUGGUUUUACCUAGAGGUGAAAUAUACACACUCAGUCUGGACAUAGACUGUACUUACCAAAACAUAGAACAUCUCCAAGAAAACUACAUACCCCAAGUACAAACACACAACCUGUAACUCAGAUGCAAAAUACACAAAACUACAUGGACGCAGUGAAUGUGCGUCAAAAAAUACACAAACGAUGCUUCACUAUUAUUUCUGUACACUCAGGGUGUACACACAAUGCACGUAUAUUUACACUAGGCUUACAAAAUACAGCACUCGUGCCCAAGAAGACGCAAUAGACACGACAUACAGACAUGUACUCAGAUCCAUUGCUCUGCCCCCAGAUCUAUAAAUUAAUGGACACAAACAAAAUAACACCUUUAAUCACCUAUUCCUAGCUCAUAUUAGUAUCUCAGUUUUCUCCAAGGAGUCUUUUCCUCUCAUCACUUCUCUCACCUGCAGAUUUUAGUCCUGAGAAAGGAACCCCUGAGGUUUCAGGCAGAAAGAUGGGCUACCACAUCAAGCACAGGAAUCUUGUGAACCUGUUCACCUUCCUCCCACCAGCACCCUAGGGUGUGGGGUGUGGAAGAUCCCAGGAUGGCCAGCAGCCUGAUAUGGACCUCCUUAUCAUGACCUUUCCCUCAAAACAAGUCCACCCCAACAGCCCAGCAGCUCAGGUUCCCCGCCUUCCAUCAUCUGAAAUCCUCAGAUUCGGCGCCAUUCUUUUAAAAGCAGUGAUGGCCCCUGGGUCCCAAACCACAGUAAAGAUGUCCCUAACACACAGACCUUUUUGCCCCUCCAUCCCCAGCAGCUUUGUGAGGGACCAGGUCAGAAAAUUGAAGCUCUGUAUAGACUUGCCUCACAAAAUGAGCCACCCUUACUUCCUGUGGCAUUUCACUUGCUCUUGGGCACAAUUCCAAUAAGGACAGUUCCUGAUUGCCUUCUAUGGGUGUUCAGUUCCAGGCCUGCCCCCCUCCUCCCCGCCAGGGCUCCCAGGGAUGUCCUGCCUUCCAUUCAAUUUCUGUGCCUUCAGGAAAUGGCAAACCAAUUCAGCUUAAGUCAAACAUGAUUAAGGACAUAAGCCUAAGGCCAAACAAGCAAAUAACACACUGAUUUAAAUACUUUCUAAGCUUACCCACCAUCUUGGAUUACCUUGGAACUGGUUCCUCCAGUUGGUAGGACUAGGUGAGAGCUAAGUGAAGUUUGACAAAGGCUUCACCUGCAGUGGAAUUAGGAGUUUCUGUGGGCCUGGGGAUCAGGCACCAUGGUCCCUCCUCCUGCACUCUGCACUCUCCCAGGUGUGACUCACCCUUCCCUCCUAAGGAUGGUCACAGUUCACAGUCCCCAUGAAGGAGGCAAUAACGGCAGGAAAUGGACACAUGGGUCCUCCAUGUGUGGUUUGGAGUCCCUCAGUGGGCCUUGUGCUUCCAAGCCAAGAAACCAGUUUUCCUUUUGUCUCUACCAGAUGCCUCUGUGGGCUCAAACUUUCAAGCAAGUUGGGGUUUUCCAGAGACUGGAGAGAAAGAGGCCCAGGAAACAUAGAAAGGUUUUCAGAAAAAAAAAAAAAAAAGGGAAACAACUCAGCUGGUCAAAUUUCAAAGUAAACUUUUCAGGAGCCAAUUUUUAAUGAAUGGAUUAAUUAAAAUCGAAUUAAGAAGCCAAAAUCGAAUUUAGUUGAACUUAUGUUUCCUUUGCUCUCUUCCUUCCUUCCUUCCUCUCUGCUUGCCUCUAACCUGCUCAACAGGGCUUCUGAGGAUGGCACAGCCAUGUCACUGGGUGCCCAUAUGAGGAGGGCUUCAGGACUAGCUUGUCCUGCCUCCUCUGUCUGGAUUUCUCCCUCCAUUAUAGUGGAUUCUGGCCAACUUCCUCAGAGUAAGCUAUAAAGUAUCAGCGUCAACUCAUGUUGAGAGAAGGCAGCACCCUCUGAAGACCCUCAGAGGUCUUCAGGUCCAGUGCUUUCCGUAGUAGUGGGAAAGAGAGGCAGAGGCCAACCUCCCCCAAAGGAAACUAUAAGACAAUGGCAAAUUGUGUAUGGGGGGGUGGCAUCAUUACCCCCUGUGGCAGGCAGGGAAGCACGGUACUUUGACUUGUUUACCCAGGAGAGAGAAUGGUACUGCUGAGCCCUGGUCCCUAGGGCUCUCCUGGAACCCAAUGUCAUAACAACCUGCAUGUGAGUGAUGGCCAACCAGUCUGAGAGGGCCAUAAUGUCCAGGGUAUUCCUUGGUUACACAAUGGAGAGUCCCCCAUCCUUGGUGAAGUGUCCAUGGUCAGGUUUGACCUUAACCUUAUUAACAUCAAUAGCCACACCACAAGCCAACCAGUAGGGAGUUGGAUGUCGGGAGCUGUCUCAGCAGCCAUUGAGACCAUCGUGUGUACUCUCGAACUUGGUCCUUGUUGAGACCAACCCCAUGUCCCCAUGGAGUAGCGAGCAGGGACAGGUAGCAGUGGGGGAUCCGGUACAAGCUGGGAUGAGUCUGUUCCUCAAAGUAAUCUAGUCCACUUUCCCCUUCUUUCUGUUUUCCUUUCCACCAAAGCUCAGUUCCAUCUUUCAUAGUUUGUACUUAAAUAUUCUUAAAAGAGGAAAAGUGCAAUAAAAUCAACAGUGACUGUUUCCUUUAGCAAUAGCUCUUUCAAAAAUCUUGCUCUCAGGACUGAAAAGUGAUAGACAGUACCUGGAUUAUCAGAUAAGGCCCUUGACUUCUGGGCAUUGGUUCACAUUCUCUGUAGUUCCUUCUUCCCACCUGUUCCCAUGACUCCUGUCCUGAGAUCUGACCCUCUGGAAUGGACACAGAUGCAGAUGGGCGGCACACGCACGAAGGCCCGUGAGAAGGCAUUCUUUGUCACUCUCUUUCCUGUGUGCAUCUCUCUGUCUCCAGGUGUCUUUCUGUCCCUCUCUCCCUCUGCCUGCCCCUUCCUCCCCACUCUCACACAGCAUCCUUGCCACCUCUCGGCCCUGAAACCUUGAGUUGAGUGACCUCAUGCCAGCCCAUCUUGUUGACUCCGGGUCAGUCUGGCAGGGUGUAAUGGAAACCUGCAGGAAAGCGCUUACCAAUAGAUGAGAAUAAAGCAUCCUGAGCCAUUACAGGAGAUCAUUUCCAUGCACUAAAAGCCAUUACUUGAUCCUUUUGCUGCACCUCCUCUCCUCCCCAGGGAGAGGGAUACUGAGGGAAUGUGGCCCUGGAGAUUUGCACCUGGAAUCGGCAGCCUAGGCAGAUUCAGAAAUUGCCCUCUGACUCUCCUUCACAAUCAGCUGACUUGCUCAACCACAGGGACUCCUUGAGAGCUGCAAAGGAAAGCAAGUUCUUGGCGUGGGUAGACGUCUAUAGGCAUUGAAGUUUGGGGUGGUUGGGUCAUGACAUUAGCGAGACGAAGACCCCACCACCCACUGCACAGAUUUGCACACCUCUCCAGGGGCUUCAGAGGAGUCCUCUUUGCUGAAACAUCUGUGAGGUUAAAUAUUCAGGCUGGACAAUCCAGGGAAGGCUGGCAACCCCAGGGUCCCAUUUCAUUCUUCUUCGGUCUACCUUGCUCUAUACACAUGUGUACAACCAAACCUCAGUUAACCAACAGGGAAAAACUCAGGGAAGGGAAUGUCCUGGUUGCUUUGCCAUUCUGGUGAUUUGAGUGGGAGUGGGAACACGUGGGGUUCAGCCUUUGUUAUUGAAAAAUAGUAUUUCCUAAGUAGGUUAGUCUAACCUCUCCUGCCUUAGUAAGUAGAGCAUUUGAAGAUGACAGAAGACCUUGCCUGGCUCAGGGUCAACCUCCUAAACCUCAGUGCUCAGUGUAUGGUGCACAGAAACGGAGACGAAGCCGACCAAAGAGACAGGCGAAUGAUGCUGGCUGUUGAGACAGAUGUAGAAACGGGCUGUUGGGCACAUCCAGGCUUAUCAGAUAAUGACCUUGCUGUCCCUGGCCCCUUUCUACUGAAAGUAUAGUAAGAAAACAUAAUUCUUGCCAAUCAAGGUUUCAGUUGAUUGGUCCUGAGUUAUUAGAGGUUUUCCAUAUAUACAUAUGUCUGUGUGUGUAUAUAUGUAUAGUAUAUGUAUAUAUGUAUGCCAUUAUUUCAAAAAUUACACGAAUAUACAUGAACCCAUCCCCUAGUUUCACUAAUGUGGAAUAAAUUUGGCAAUCUAAGGAACGAAUCGCAUUUGUUUGACUUUUUUAAAUGAACUUCCUUUGCAUUCUUUCCAUCUCUCCAGAUCUACUCCUUUUCUGUUUAGGCAGUUCUUUAAUUAAAUAAAUAAAUAAAAUAAAAAAGAACAGGCUCCAGGAUCACCUCUUUCCUUUCCCUCCCAGGUGGCCGCCUGACUCAGGGAUAAAAGGGGGAGUGUGAUCUAAGGGCCCGGUGCUUUUUCGCCUUUAUUCUGUCUGCCCUGGUUGGCUGUCACCUCCUCACUGAGGACCUGAAAAGUUAUGCCAAACUUUUGUAGCCCUGGGGAAGUGGAAAGCUUAAAGAUCUGGCAAAGGACUGAUCUAUUUAGCUUUCUCUGUGUCCGUAGUGGUGCCCUAGGUUUGAACGGUAUGCAUUGGGAAAGUAACAUUUCAAAUGAAGCAUCAAAGAUCCUCUCUGCCCUGUGGAAGGUGAGGUUUGUGGCAAAUGAUGGAACUAUAAAAACUAUCCUGUUGUUCCUUCUGACCAAAUCUAGGUUGAGGGUGUGGGCAUUAGAGCAACUGUAAUUCAGUCACCUCUUUGGGGCUGAGCUGUGCAUUAUCACUUGAUACAGCUAGGCUUGAGCAGAUCAUACUCUCUUUCCCCAUCAUGCCUGGCAGUGUGUUAGAUUCAUGGGGAAAUCACAUCUCUCCACCUCACCUCCUGCAUUUGACUGUGCACUCUGCUUGGACGGGGGUAGGAAGGAUUCCUCACCAUUAUCUGGAGCAAUGGAGGUGGUGUAGGGAUCACAUCUGCUGCCAUCUCCUCACACUUCCAGGAGCCCUUCAACCUGGUCAAGUCAGCCAUGAUCAGAUAGUGGAAGCCCUUCACUGAGACUUCACAUGACUGGCCGAUGAGCUAGGGCACUUGAUUAUCCCGUCUGGAUGGAUAAUCUUAGACGGUAUGACCUUCAGUAUGGAAACUAAUAUAACUUCUGUGCUCCUAAAAUAGUCAGAUGUGUUCCAGAUGAGUUUGCAGCUGAGAAGUCCCUGCAUCAUUUCACUGACGGAUGCACAGGGCAGGUAGGAUUACAUAAUAAUGUGGACAGCUGCUGCAACCUCUAGAUAAUUGAGGGCAGUGUAGAUGUGGUUGUGUACUAGGACCUUUGGUAGCUACCCAGAGGACUUCGUGCUGUGUCUCUCAGUCCUUGUGAGAGGCCUCCGAUCCCUGCCUAUCUCCUUGAAAACAACUCCCUAGAUGCUGGUGCCUUGUUUGGAUGAGUGCAUAAACACUUUGGAUGCUGGAGAAAGCAAGAGGAGGAGCUGGAAGAAAAAGAAUAGUGAAGGGUUCACCUUGCUACCAGACAACUUCCAUGUCAGCUGCUGACAUUUUUGCCUUUUGAGCUUAUGAAGCAUAGGGCAAGGACUUUAACCUGCCAGGUGGGGCUAGAAGGGAGCAAACCAGCUCUAGGCUAAGAACUGCAAUUGAAAAGCAAGAGGAGAAGCCUGGCUGGCUUGGAUGAGGGUGAGUCUCAGCUCCUGAGGGUUUGAACAUGCUCUGUGCUUGCCCCAGUUCUGUCUUCACGUGGGAUCCAGCGACCCAGUUUCCUUUUGUUGUCGUGCUUGGAUGGUUCCUUCAUUUGAAGGGCCCCAGGAAGCUGGAAAGUCCCAUGAUUGAGCUCUAGCCUGCUGAGCAAACAAUGCCCUAGCCAAAUUGGCCUCUUCCUGGGUUUCUGCAUCCCUGCACCCCUCUCUUCACGGAGGGUAAUCUUGGAAUGGUCAGGAUUAAUGGUGCCAGCAAUCAAGGAGGAUUCUCUCAUUUCCAUUAGGGAUAUAGCUAUAAAGCUCAUGGGUGGGGGAUGCUGUUUCCUUUUUCAGACCUGUGUGCUUAUGCAUCUCCUGUUUCUGGAGAUGUGUGUGUGUGUGUGUGUGUGUGUGUGUAUAUAUAUAUAUAUAUAUAUACACACACACACACAUUUGUAUGAAAUGGCCGCUCAUUUAAGCUCACGCAGCACACAUUCUAAUUAAGGUUUCCACUAGCUUCCUUGCAUGACUCUGCAGCUGCCCUCCUGUGUCCUGUCUCUCGUAAUUGCUAAAAACUUAAAGAGGAGAGGCAGACAAAUAAGCCUCCAUGGGAUCAAUAGGAGAAGGAACUCCAAGGCUGAUGGCAAAGCUUCGUAAGGAUGAUGCCGAAAGGGAACUGGGGUAUCCAUGGUGAUAAGAGACAGGGGACCAAUGGGAGCUGAAGGCGGAGCAGGACUUGUGGGGAGGACUCAUGGGAGUUGGGAGUCAUUUAACUAUUUGUUUGCUUCAUGAAAAUUUAGACACCAGCUGUAACUGCAUUGCACAGGAUGUAUAGAUAUUAUCAUUCUUGCUGACAUAUUCUGGAAGCUUUCAGCCCCACCAAUACUGCCCAGCCCAGGACUUCUGCAGCUGAGAGUUCCUGUGUCAGUAGGGUCUGAUACUGUACAUAGGUUAUACAUAUAUGUGUACAUAUGUGCCUCAAUGAACAUUGCCUGUCCACCAAAUCAUGGGUGUACAUAGACUUCAUAGAGCUCCACAGUCUUUUUGUAAAUAUUGACACAAGUAAAUAAGUAUAUAAAUAUAUAUUAUUGAGGAUUUAUUUUAACAUCAUUCUGUGUGAAAUGAAAAAUAAAUAAAUAAAAUUUUUGACAGACAUUGACA
rnacentral:lncRNA from 1 species